rnacentral:rRNA from 1 species
AUACGGAGGAUCCAAGCGUUAUCCGGAUUUAUUGGGUUUAAAGGGUGCGUAGGCGGACUGGUAAGUCAGCUGUGAAAGUUUGCGGCUUAACCGUAAAAUUGCAGUUGAUACUGUCAGUCUUGAGUGUGCAUGAGGUGGGCGGAAUUUGUGGUGUAGCGGUGAAAUGCUUAGAUAUCACGAGGAACUCCAAUUGCGAAGGCAGCUCACUGGGGCAUAACUGACGCUGAUGCACGAAGGUGUGGGUAUCAAACAGGAUUAGAUACCCUGGUAGUCCACACAGUAAACGAUGAAUACUCGCUGUUUGCGAUAUACAGUAAGCGGCCAAGCGAAAGCAUUAAGUAUUCCACCUGGGGAGUACGCCGGCAACGGUGAAACUCAAAUGAAUUGACGGGG